rnacentral:lncRNA from 1 species
AUCCGCAUGCCAAUCAUUAAAAUCUCUCUACAUUGUGUGAGAAAAUUAGAGAAAGAUUACCAUGAGAAAGAGUUUCUCAGACUGGGGCAUGAACAGAGAGUGGGGCAGGUCCUUCUUUGCAUGUAAAGAGGAUAGCUAAUUCAUCUUGGGUGUGAGAUUUUGGGAUGGGUAUCCUAGGGUUCCAUCUAGGGUUUUAUGGAAAGAAAAAAGGAGAGUCAAGAAUGUCUUUUAUUCUUCUUCUUCUAUCACUUUACCUCCUCCUAAGAGUCCU